rnacentral:RNase_P_RNA from 1 species
CCAGGGGGCCGGGCGACCGCGUCGAGGACUUGUCUUCGCCGAGGAAAGUCCGGGCACCACGGAAUAACGGUGCCGGGUAACGCCCGGCGGUCCCGCGCUUCGGUGCGGGGUCAGGGACAGUGCCACAGAAAGCAUACCGCCGCUCUUCGGGGCGGUAAGGUCGAAAGGGUGCGGCAAGAGCGCACCGCGGCUCCGGCAACGGCAGCCGGCACGGUAAACCCCACCGGGUGCAAGACCGAAUAGGGGCGGCACAUGGGCCUGUUCCGGCUCGCCGCCCGGGUUGGUCGCUGGAGCCUGUCCGCGAGGGCAGGCCGAGAGGAAUGGUCGCACAUCCACCUUCGGGUGGAGGACAGAACCCGGCUUACAGGCCCCCUGGCACU